CACCCUGCGGAGUUCAGUUGCUGGGCACUCUUUGGUGGGAAUUUUGGGAAACAAAUCCCCGCGGAGUGUGACAGAGAAUCGCACAGGGUCAAGCAGAAGAAAGGCCCAGUGGAGAGGUUUUGAGUUUUUGUUAGGGUUUCCUUUGACAGGAGUGUGGACAGAGUACUGAAAAGCACUGUUGCCUCCAGGCUGGUAACCUGAGCUCUCGGAGUCAGGAGGAUUGAACAUUCACGGCCUCACUGGGUCAAGUUCAAGGCCAGCCUUGCCAGAUUAGUGAGAAACUGUCUCAAAAUAAAAUGUCUAAAGGACUCUGGGUACAACUCAAGGGUUCAAUGCCUGCCUAACAUGUUCAAGGCCCUGGGUUCAAUCCCGGGACAGAAACAAAAUGCUGUGACCUCCUGGACACAGAGAAAAGUGCGGGAGAGAAAGAAUACGGAGGAGAAGAUGGUAGCUGUUCCAGAGGUUCAGUGCCUGAGAUGAGCAGAGCACACGGGCAGCUGAGAAGAGGAGGGUCUGUGACAGCUGCACCCCAUAGAGAGCCUGGACGGAGCCUGACCGAAGGAAUGGAAUCUGAAAGUGCCCUUCCUGCCUCACAGCUGAAACUAAACAUCUCCCGGCCUCUGCCUGAGGCUGCGAUUUCUACCAUCGGCCUCCUAGGUUCUCAGGCGUUCACCCCCUGGAUUGAAUUAUCUCACUGGCCUCUUUUUCUCUGGGGAGUCCUAAGUAUACAAGCCCCAUCUGAGCCUGGGUAACAGAGACACGUUAAGAUGACGGUAACCCUUGAAAAUAUGUGUCUGUACAUUGUUCUUGGGGGACAGUCUACAAGGGAACAGGAUCCCCCAGGAAAGAGGAGCCAUGGAGUUACAGAAUCUGGGAUAGAAAGCUAGGGAGGAUCCGUGUUACAGACGUUUGCUGGUGGUGUUUGGGCUUUCAUGGGACCUACCCUGAACCUGUUGGGCCUGGACCAACCUUUCUAGAGAGUUCUGUGAUCUUCACAUAGCAUUAGCUUCAUCUCCUCUCACUGUCAGAAGCUGUGACAGCUUGACCCCCCACUGGCUUGAUCAAGGCAAAGGGGCUUUUUUGGUAAAUGGACUUUGUCCCUCUGCUGGAGGUGAGACCAAGAUGAGUAACACUUUGCAGCUCAGCACACCUGAGGUAUGACACACCUGAAGUAUGACACACCUAAAGUAUGACACACCUGCAGAAUGAAACCGUUCUCUCUUUCUUACUUCUAGUUUUAGUCCACUAUAAUCCAAGAAGAUGCAAGAAAUUACUUUGAUACUUUUGUAUUUGUUAAGACUUGCUUCUAGGCCUAAGUUUUAGAGAAAUUCUCAAGGGCUGCUGAGAAAAAAAUGCCCUCCACAGCUGCGGCUAAAGCGCUCUGCAACAGGCUAGAACUAACUACACACAUACAAGAGAAGUGGGAUUUGAGUGGAGUCGGUGUGCUGCAUGAAGGUGAACUUCCAGAGUGUGCUGCUUUCUUUCAGCUGCAUAAGGGAAACUAGGACCGGCUCCAUGGGAUCUCUCUGCAUUGAUUCUUCAGGCUCUAUGUGAAUCUAUUGUCUUCAAAGAUUUUUCUUUAAUGUUUGUUUUACAUACCUCGGUAUUUUGCCUGUGUGUAAGACUAUGCACUGUGUGUAUGCAGUGCCUGAGGAGGCCAGAAGAGGGCAUCAGAUCCCUUGGAACUGGAGCGCCUAUGGUUGCGAGUUGCUAUAUGGAUGCUGGGAACUGAACCCAGGUCCUCUGGAAGUGCAACCAGUGUUGCUCUUAGUAGCUGAACCAUCUUUCCAGCUCAUCUUUAAAGAUUAUUAUUUUUUAAAUACACAUAUAUCUGGAACAAAAG
ensembl:lincRNA Gm37821 predicted gene, 37821